GGAACAAUCUUAAAUAUUAGUUUGACUUAAUUUACAAUAGAAAUAUAAAUUAAAACCAAGAAAACUAAAUAAUUGUACUUUUUGUAUAACGGUUUCUUAACCCCGAAAGUAGAAGAUCUAAAGAAAAUUUAAUUCUAUGUGUCAAAAUAAAAUAAGAAAUUUUCUUUAGGGGUGAAAAGCCUACAAUUCUACUGAUAUCUGGAUGUUCACGAAAGGUAUUUAGUACCAAAAAUACAUAUUAUGGGUGUUUAGAUCUAUAAUAUUGAAUAUAGUAUUUUAAUGUCCAUUUAGAGUUAAUAUCUCUAGCAUAUUUUUUAACUAAGUAUAUAUCUAUUUAAUAUUUCUAAUAUAGUGAACCUGGUUAAUUUAUACUCGAUUAUGAGAAAAUUAGUAUUAAUGUUAAAAAUUUUUAAGGAACUCGGCAAAUCUAGAUUUCGACUGUUUAACAAAAACAUAGCCCUAGGAAAUAAUCUAGGGUGAAACCUGCUCAAUGAAGUUUUUAAUAGCCGCGGUACCUUGACCGUGCUAAGGUAGCAUAAUCAGUUGACUUUUAAAUGAAGUCUGGAAUGAACGGAAUAACGGAAUUAAGCUGUCUCUAAUUUUUUAUUAUGAAUUUACUAAUCAGGUGAAAAGGCCUGAAAAAGAUAAAAGACGAGAAGACCCUUAGAGUUUUUUAAUUAUUUUGUUGGGGCGACAAAGAAUCAGAAAAACAUUCUUAAUCUAAUGAGACGGUUUUUACAUGAAUAGAUAAACUACCUGAGGGAUAACAGCAUUAUCUUUUUAGGUUUGUGACCUCGAUGUUGGACUAGGAAGCCUAUAGGCUAGCCGCUUAUAAGGGAGGUUCUGUUCGAACUUUUACUCCUACAUGAUCUGAGUUCAGACCGGCGUAAGCCAGGUCAGUUUCUAUCUUUUAUUUUAGGAAUUUUAGUACGAAAGGACCAAAUUUCAUUUU
rnacentral:rRNA from 1 species